rnacentral:lncRNA from 1 species
CAAAUGCAUUGUCAUGAUUGUAGCAAAUAUUUCUUAUCAGGAUUGUGUUAGGUACUUCUUGAUACUUUGCUUAAAAGUAAAAGUGUUUUGAGCCUUACGCAUUUUGUGUGGUAGUCCAUUCCAUAAUACUGAUCCAGAAUAAGCAAAGGAUUUCUUAAAUAGUUCAGCUUUUGGCUUAGGAACUAUCAGAUUACCUUGAGUGACACCUCUUAAGGAGUAAGGAUUAUUAUCUAAUUUCAGUUUAAACUUUUGAACUAGGUACAUUGGUGCUUCCAUACGCAUACAUUUAUAUAGAAGUAAAUAUUUGUGGUAAUUUAUUCUAUUGUCAACUGUCAUCCACCCAAGUUUUUUAAAUAAGGGGGCUGAGGGGGAUAAAGGAUCUGCAUCUAGAAUUAAUCUUGCUGCUCUUUUUUGGAGUUUUAAAAUUCUUGUUUUCCCUUCAUUUUUACAUUCACCCCAAAUAAUACAGCAGUAGUCAAUUAAGGGAAGAAUAUACCCAUUGUAAUAUGUUUUCCUUGCAUUUAUAUCUAAAAACUUCUUUAUUUUAGAAAGAAGGUAUAUUCUGGAUGAUAUAUUAGCACAAACUUGGUCAAUUUGAUUUUUCCAGUUAAGUGUGCUGUCAAUUUU